CCCGUUCCUGAAACACGGACCAAGGAGUCUAGAAUGUGCGCGAGUCAAAGGGCUGGCUAAACCCAAAGGCGUAACGAAAGUGAAUGGGAACGCGAAAACCGGGAUGGGUGUGGGGUCGGCGGCUAGGUGGUGAAGGUGACUGAUCCAUCGAAACGCUCUUCCCUCCACUCUCCCGCGAAGCGUUCCUUAGGACCGAUCCGGUUCGACGCACGGAAGAGAUUUAGUAGUAGUGGGUAGCGCGGGGUUUCGGCUCCGUCUAACUAUCCAUCUACCUAUCUCCCUUUCCUCUACGUCGUUUGCCUCGCUACCCGUAGGAGGACGGCGCAGGUCCGGGGCUCGCUAGCUUCCUCCCCGCUAACGCUAACGUCGUAGCUUUCCCGGUCGUACGGGGGUUUAAAGCUCCUACUCCGUCUUAGGACGUUCGUCUCUCGCGUAUCAGGCGUGUCUCUCUCCUCUUCCUCCCCGUCAAAAGGGAACGAAUGAGAGGGAACGGUUGUGCGCGGCGAGCUCGUCUCGUUCCGACAGGCGGGUCGAAGUAGGGGCCCCUCUCGAUCGCGGACUACGUCUCGCGGGCGCUGGGACGAGCGGCGGGUACCUUGAGCGCACAUUCUAGUACCCGAAAGAUGGUGAUCUAUGCCUGGCGAGGACGAAGCCAGAGGAAACUCUGGUGGAGGUCCGUAGCGAUUCUGACGUGCAAAUCG
rnacentral:rRNA from 1 species